CUGAAGUGGAAAAUGUGUAUGUAGAGGUGAAAUAUUCCCUUUGUAUUCCAGCACUGCCAUCCCUGGCUGGAUGAACAUGGAAAAAGUCAGCAGCUUUCCAGGUACUGUUGAAAAAUAAGAGCUCUACAGGAUGAAGGAGGAAAUUAACCUGGACCGAAGACAUUUUUUGACUAUCAGCAGCAAAGAUGGAGCAUAACGUCACCCAUCCUGGCCACCCGUAUUGGAAGGGAAGCUGCAUACAUGACCAGUGCAUGGAAAAACAUUACAACGCGGGCCUACUUACCUAUGGUUUCUCUGCUAUUUUGAAAGACCAUCUGUGUUUGUAAAGAAAGAGAAAAUGGGUCAGUAUGAAGCUAGCUAAAGGUGAUUUUGCACAUCCCCAAAAUAUACCUUCUGCUACAAUGCUUUAUUUUUUCCUUGGGUGAAGUCCAAAGACUUUGACCAAAAUACUUCUGCAGACUUCUCUAAAAGAACAAAUAAUUAAAAAAUAAAAAUAAAAACUCAACCCAGGAUCAUGGAUGUAUCUGUUCAAAAACUUGCUGAGUUUUUCAGGUCACAGAAGACCAUUUCCUGCUAGUACAAGAAGAAAACUAAACUGCUGAUUUGUUUACGGGUGUGUGAAAAUCCUGUGGCUUUAAAGUGCUUUGUGUGUGAGGAGAGGGAGAACAGGGGAGGGCAGGGGGAUGGAUGGGUGGCUUUGUUUUAAAAUAACGUUAAAAUCAUAUUCUUUAUGUGUUUGUUUUACCUGCAAGGUGACAAAUGAUCGCACUUAGUAAAUCAAAGGUUUUGGCGUAAAAUCUUUCUUUAACAAGCCAUAUCUGUUCAAAGUAACAAAGCCUGGAUUGAAUAUAAGUGGGUGUCAGUUCAGGAAGUAAAUACCUAUCUGUUGUAUAAUCAGGUCUAUUCUGUAUUUACUGAGUCCUGACUGGCUCUUCUACUUCCCUAAGUAGGGAAAACAUCAAAUCUUGAGCUUCAUUUUCCUCCACAUGCAGAUCAACGGACCAUUGUCCCCUUUGUAGUUAAUGGAAGGUUGGAAGGAAAGACAGCUACAGUUCUGUGCUGCCCGAUUGCAGGAAGUGAGCAUACAGGCAUACUUGUGUAGAUACACUCAUCUUCCCAUUAUCUUAUAUUGCAGCCUGGUUUAGUUAUGUGUGAACACCACAUUUUGGAAGGAUGAAAUCUGCUUCAUAAUAUGCCUGCAUAAACACCAAUAAUAUACUAGAUGUACCCAUCUCUAUAAACAACCAAGUAUAA